rnacentral:lncRNA from 1 species
UUGGAUUCGUUUUGGCUCUUCAAAAAUCGUUGUUCGCUUCGUUUUGGCUCUUCGAAAAUCGUCGUUCUCGUUGCCGUGUUGGAGGAAGUUAUCGUUGUGGGUGUGGCGAUCAUUGCAUGUUUUGGUUCUUAGUGUGCUCGUUUUUGCGAAAUGGCCAGUUCUUCGAGCAGGGUAAGCGCGUUCUUUUGUGGGUUUUGNUGUUUAUCGUUUGGUGUUUCGAGUUUGGGUUUUGUAUGUUUUUUCUGAUUUAGGGUUUUUAAGUUUUGGUUUUUGGAAUUUGUAUGCAGUUGACGGUUCGUCACUCAGUUUGAACAAAGUACAUCUCUGGUUUGAACAAACGUUUGAGAAAGGAGCACUGGUUAGUGAUUGCAGGCACUCCACCGAUCCUCCUCCAAUGAAGACAUAUGUGAGGAUGGGGUCACGAAGG